rnacentral:rRNA from 1 species
UGGGGAAUUUUGGACAAUGGGCGAAAGCCUGAUCCAGCAAUGCCGCGUGUGUGAAGAAGGCCUUCGGGUUGUAAAGCACUUUUGUCCGGAAAGAAAUCCUUGGCUCUAAUACAGUCGGGGGAUGACGGUACCGGAAGAAUAAGCACCGGCUAACUACGUGCCAGCAGCCGCGGUAAUACGUAGGGUGCAAGCGUUAAUCGGAAUUACUGGGCGUAAAGCGUGCGCAGGCGGUUUGCUAAGACCGAUGUGAAAUCCCCGGGCUCAACCUGGGAACUGCAUUGGUGACUGGCAGGCUAGAGUAUGGCAGAGGGGGGUAGAAUUCCACGUGUAGCAGUGAAAUGCGUAGAGAUGUGGAGGAAUACCGAUGGCGAAGGCAGCCCCCUGGGCCAAUACUGACGCUCAUGCACGAAAGCGUGGGGAGCAAACAGGAUUAGAUACCCUGGUAGUCCACGCCCUAAAACGAUGUCAACUAGUUGUUGGGGAUUCAUUUCCUUAGUAACGUAGCUAACGCGUGAAGUUGACCGCCUGGGGAGUACGGUCGCAAGAUUAAAAACUUAAAGGAAUUGACGGGGUCAUAGCUG